ACUACGGGAGGAGGGGGGUAUUUGAGACUGAUUUUGUGGUAUUUUUCGACCGAAAAGUGCUAAUCUUUUUUGCUCACGGCAUUCUUUGGAAUGUGUAGAUUGUGGAACAAGUGCUGAAAUAUGCUUAUCUAUUGUAAUUUGGCUAUGUUAGCCUUAGACAUGUUGCACUGUUGACGCUGAUGAAGAAUAGGCGGCACCAAAGGUGGCUGGAACAACCCCAGUGCCGCACAGUUCUGCGGGAUAUUCCGGCACCUGCUCCACCGCUGCGGCGUCCGGCCCGGCAGCACAGGGAAAGUGGCAGCCCUCGACCCGACCAGCAUCCUGGCAGUCGGUCACACGACCAGCGGACGGGGACCCAGCCUUACUACCUCGGCCUCCACCACCUCAGACAACGGUGUCACGGCACUCCACAUCAUCACGGAGCACGACUUCCAGCCUGGGCUGUCGUCUGGUGGGCAACAUCGCCACCUACAUCGCAGGGUUCGUGGUGAAGAAGGCGCUCGACUCUGUCAGCUGUAGCACCUGUCAGGAGGCCCUGGUGAGCGACAUCCAGCCGGACGACAUGACACAGCUUUACCACCUCUUCAUCAUCUCUGCCAGAUGAGCUAAGGUGGGGACGGGUUACAUGCCUGGGAUCUGACUGAGACCCGCUCAUACCCUGCCGAAGUGUUGGUGAUUUCAGCGGUCGGCUGUCUCUAGCCGGUGUCAGUGAGUCGCGGCCAGCUGCCGCUGGAGUGGGUAUCUACCGUCGAUAGCUGCUGUGUGGCGGAUAGCGUGGAUUUGGAUGGACACUUCAUAUUAAUGAACAGAUCAAUGUCUGGCCGAUAAAAGACGUAUUUUGUCGAUGAUUGCUUAGUGACUGAGUGGGUCCACUGGCGACCAAUGCAGUGGGCGCUGGGUUAACGCCUCGCCUCUUGUGACCGUGUCGAUAUGUAGCACUGUUAAUUGCCGAUUCGUUGCCGGCCGUCUCUGCUCCGUGGCUGGCUGAUCCGGCACAAACUGGUGUUCGUGGCUGAAGGCGCGGCUACAGUUACACUAGCUCGCCACGUGCCUGUGCGACUAUCGUCGGUGCUGUCUGCAAGGGCGAUGUCGGUGCCUGUAGGGGGCGCGGAUUGAUUCAAAGUGAGGAAUGGGUCAUCGGAGCUCGGGUCAGGUCAUGUUCGGCUAAAAUAAGCGGAUUUUGCGAUUUGCCGCAUCCGGGUGAAUUUCCUUGCCUUCUAGUGCAUGUUUAUGCAUUUUACAUGCGUUUUUUUAGUGUUGAUGUCUAGAUAACGUGCAUUUGCCUCGAGGUCAAGGCUGCGUUUCAUAUGGGCAGUUUUCGGAGCAUCUUGCUUAUUUUAUUCGUAAUCCUUAAUUAUGUUUGCGGAUUUGUGCCCGCAAAUCAUUUUUUAAAGUAAGAUUGACACGGGAUUCGAGAUCGGCGCCCAUAAAUACACUUCACAUGACC